rnacentral:rRNA from 1 species
GUGAGGAAUAUUGGUCAAUGGACGAGAGUCUGAACCAGCCAAGUCGCGUGAAGGAAGACGGUUCUAUGAAUUGUAAACUUCUUUUGUGCAGGAAUAAAGUGGGUUACGUGUAACCUUUUGUAUGUACUGUACGAAUAAGGAUCGGCUAACUCCGUGCCAGCAGCCGCGGUAAUACGGAGGAUCCGAGCGUUAUCCGGAUUUAUUGGGUUUAAAGGGUGCGUAGGUGGAUUGAUAAGUCAGCGGUGAAAGUUUGCAGCUUAACUGUAAAAUUGCCGUUGAAACUGUCGGUCUUGAGUGCAAAUGAGGUAGGCGGAAUGUGUUGUGUAGCGGUGAAAUGCUUAGAUAUAACACAGAACUCCGAUUGCGAAGGCAGCUUACUGGGAUGCAACUGACACUGAUGCACGAAAGCGUGGGUAUCAAACAGGAUUAGAUACCCGAGUGUCC